GGGUUGUGAGGUUAAGCGACUAAGCGUACACGGUGGAUGCCCUGGCAGUCAGAGGCGAUGAAGGACGUGCUAAUCUGCGAUAAGCGUCGGUGAGGUGAUAUGAACCGUUAUAACCGGCGAUUUCCGAAUGGGGAAACCCAGUGUGUUUCGACACACUAUCAUUAACUGAAUCCAUAGGUUAAUGAGGCG
rnacentral:rRNA from 1 species